rnacentral:rRNA from 1 species
GGCUCAGGAUGAACGCUGGCGGCGUGCUUAACACAUGCAAGUCGAACGAAGCAGUUUAUUACGAUCCCUUCGGGGUGACGAUUUACUGACUGAGUGGCGGACGGGUGAGUAACGCGUGGGUAACCUGCCUUGUACAGGGGGACAACAGUUGGAAACGACUGCUAAUACCGCAUAAGCGCACAGUUUCGCAUGAAACAGUGUGAAAAGUAUUUUCGGUACAAGAUGGACCCGCGUCUGAUUAGCUAGUUGGUGAGGUAACGGCUCACCAAGGCGACGAUCAGUAGCCGACCUGAGAGGGUGACCGGCCACAUUGGGACUGAGACACGGCCCAAACUCCUACGGGAGGCAGCAGUGGGGAAUAUUGCACAAUGGGCGAAAGCCUGAUGCAGCGACGCCGCGUGAGCGAAGAAGUAUUUCGGUAUGUAAAGCUCUAUCAGCAGGGAAGAUAAUGACGGUACCUGACUAAGAAGCACCGGCUAAAUACGUGCCAGCAGCCGCGGUAAUACGUAUGGUGCAAGCGUUAUCCGGAUUUACUGGGUGUAAAGGGAGCGUAGGCGGUUUUACAAGUCUGAUGUGAAAGCCCGGGGCUCAACUCCGGUAUUGCAUUGGAAACUGUAGAACUAGAGUGUCGGAGGGGUAAGUGGAAUUCCUAGUGUAGCGGUGAAAUGCGUAGAUAUUAGGAGGAACACCAGUGGCGAAGGCGGCUUACUGGACG